rnacentral:rRNA from 1 species
UACAGAGGGGGGCGAGCGUUUAUUCGGAAUUAUUGGGCGUAAAGGGCGCGUAGGCGGCCUGGCAAGUGACGGGUGAAAUCCCUCGGCUUAACCGAGGAACUGCCUGUCAUACUGUUAGGCUUGAGUCCGGGAGAGGUGAGUGGAAUUCCCAGUGUAGCGGUGAAAUGCGUAGAUAUUGGGAGGAACACCAGUGGCGAAGGCGGACUCACUGGACCGGAACUGGACGCUGAGGCGCGGAAAGCGUGGGGAGCAAACAGGG